rnacentral:rRNA from 1 species
GACGUAGGGCGCGAGCGUUGUCCGGAUUUAUUGGGCGUAAAGAGCUCGUAGGCGGCUUGUCGCGUCGUUCGUGAAAACCUGCAGCUCAACUGCAGGCUUGCGGUCGAUACGGGCAGGCUGGAGUUCGGUAGGGGAGACUGGAAUUCCUGGUGUAGCGGUGAAGUGCGCAGAUAUCAGGAGGAACACCGGUGGCGAAGGCGGGUCUCUGGGCCGAUACUGACGCUGAGGAGCGAAAGCGUGGGGAGCGAACAGG